ACACACCCACACCCACUCUUCUUCCCCCAACCGUCUCGGAUCGGAGCAGAGCAGAGGCUCUCCCUUGGCCUUCCUCCCUCUCGGCAGCAGGCUCGACCUUUGCAUGGCAGCAGUGGCUACCUCCAAGGGGCGGGUGAUCGCUGGGAGCCUCGUCGCGCGCGUCCUUGCCGGCAAGGCCGCCAACGCCUCCCCGAGGUAUGCUCACACGCCUCCUGUGAGCUCAAAGAAAGAAUCAGAGUACUAGCAUACGUACUUACGUUGGAAGUAGAUCAGUACCACUACUGCUGCUAGUUCAACAGUGCCUCCGAGAUCUAGUUGCUCCGGAGAUUUGUAAAUGGUUCCUUUUGCUGCUCUCACCUCGGCUGCCGUGGGUACUGGUUCCCCCAUCGGUUCGCCAUCACAAUCAUCAUCUUGGUAUGGAAAUUGAUUAACCCGUGUUCUGUGAAGCGGCGCUGGGGAUAGGUACGUACCGUCGUGCUGCGCUAGAACUUGCAACACAGUUUCCCAACCCAACCCAAAGUUAGAAAGAUUGUGUCUCGAGUUCUCAGUCACGUCCUCCCCGCCUUGGAAACGCUCACAAAACUUCUUUGUAAAGCAGGGCGCAAGUGCCUUUUUCUCUCUCUAAAAAAAGCUUCCGUUUCACAAACUUGUUUGGUCCCUGUAAUAAGAACAGCAAAAAUAUCUUUCAUCUCUCCUGCCCAUAUGCGUCGACGAUCCGUAGCAGCAGCACAUCAUAUGAGUAGGACGGAUGUCAAGAUAAAUCUGCAGAGCAGGAGAGAGCUCCACCACAGAAGAAGGCAGAGAAGGCCAGAUCCAUGGAGAUAUUUCUCUGCGCCUCCCAGUUGCGGCCGGCUCGUCGGAGAUGGCCAAGACAUCACCCGAGCCCCGGCGGCGAAGGGAUAGUGCAAGGAUAUUAUUCACGGCCCGGACGGGUCGGUCGCUCGUUUCUGUUUCUUUCUGGGAGAUUUUAUUGACGGCAGCGAAUGGGUGGACGGGUAGGUGCGGGGUGGUUGUCCGUCCGUCCGUCCGCCAUCUGCCGGCCUGAGCGCUCCCUUGGUUUUCACUCCAAGGAUGGGGCUGGUGCGAGGCGAGAGGUUGGUGGUGGCGCCCACGGUCGGGGUUGCCGUGAGAUCAAGGCGCGGAUGAGACCCUCGGGCCCGCGGUCUGGCCCUGCACGAUCCCACUUCUUCUGGGCUCCGGAUCUGAACCGGCCGGCGGGCGACGUGUCGUCCAUCGGGUCCCGGGGCGGACGUACUGGGUGCACGUACACGCUAGGGUGAGUAGGAUGAUGGCGCCGGUCUUAUCCACAAGACCCACCCACCCACCCACCGUCGUGCUGCCCCACCUUCUCCCGCCGUCUCUUCUUUGCUCACUGACCUAAGGCAGCCAGUGGAGUCCGGCCACAGCGCAAACGGCGUGCUUCGUGCCACCAUCAGUCACCACGCAUGGCCGGGCUCGUUCUAUGGUGCGUACCGAACUGAAAGAAAAAUUGGUUUAUGGGCGCCCACACGGCACGGCACGGCACUCUUUGCGUGAACUCGCCGUCCCGGGCACCAACAACACACUUUGUGCUGCCCACGGGAGCAGAAAAAAAUAAUAAAAAGAUGGAAAAGUGUAGCUUAAUGGCAAGCAAACGGACAGCGCACCGGUCAAGAUCUUAUGUACUCCCUCCGCCCGGUAAUAAGUGUAUUUUUUUCUUUUCUGUCAAUCAAACUAGUUAAACUUUGAUUAACUUUAUUGAAAAAGUGCUAGCAUUUAUGACAUCAGAUUAGUAUCAAUAGAUUUGCCUUUACAUGAGGUUUCCAAAUAUAUCAUUUUCAUGCCAUAUAUGUUGCUACUAUUUACUAUAAAAUUGGUCAAAUUUUUUAAAAAUUGACUAAGUACUAAUCUAUAUGUAUGCUUAUUUGUGGACGGAGGGAGUACAUAGUUAUAAUAACUUCAUUUAGUCAAUAAAAUCUUGGUAACACCCACCCACAUAUAUAGGACUUUUAAUUAACGCUCACUCAUUGGGCUGCCCUAUUGCUAGUCAAUGCAAUGGCUUAUAUAUAAUCAACUGACGCCGUGAUGCGUACGUGCAUUGUUUCAUCAUCGUUCUUUUGCAUCAUGAACGGAGUAUUUUCCUUACCAUCAAGUCAACGUGGUACCGUUGUGUAUGUAGGAUCCAACGACCUCAUUAACGAGCGAUCCGGUUUUGGUGUUUGGGUUUUGCAGGAGGGCGGUGCACGCGUCGGCCUACGACAAGAACGUGGACGAGCAGGUGCGCCCGGCCUUCGUGCCGGACGAUGUGAUCGGCGGCGCCGGGAGCCCAGACAAGUACUGGGGCCCUCACCCGACCACCGGCGUCUUCGGCCCGGCCGCGGUCGACCCCAAGCUGUCCGCCAGCCUCGCGGCGCCGGCCAGCGCCGCGAAUGGUGGCGGCGCCUCCGUGCUGGACCAGAAGGUGUGGUUCCGCCCGCUCGAGGACGUCGAGAAGCCCCCCGUCGCCUGAUCGCCGCCGGCGAC
rnacentral:lncRNA from 1 species